AACCAGGAGAGCUACCAGAGACUUGAUCUUUCUCUCUUCCACAGCAGCAAGGUGCUAAGGGCAAAAAAACAUUUGAAGUAUUCAGUACUUAACAGAUAUAAACCAACCCUUUUUAAGAAUUAAAAGGCAACUUCUACCAUGAAAGUCUACUCUCCUCAAAGAGAGCAGAAUGAGGAGGGGGAGGAGAGAUGAGUCCAGGCCUGGAUGGGCACAGAGAAGGACAGAAUGGCCUGCGGGGCACCUCCCCAUCCACCACCGAGCCUGUCUCCAACCCUCACUUCAGCACCCAGAGGAAGAUGUCACAUCACUCAGAGAAGACUGAGGACCACCCAGAGAGGACGAGGAUCCCAUACUUGGCCAAUGUCCUGACUAUGUGCAAAAGAUCAAUCCCACCUUCUCCAGAGACCACCCAAGAGCUUACAGCAACACGCCCCCAACACUGUUUUCCACUAUUUUAUCAGCUGAGUUUGUGCGCUUAUCUUGCUUCUACACAAGGUUUUGAGAAUUAACACAGGGUGGCGGUCUUACUAAUCUGUAUUUCUUAUAAAAUCUAGAAGGAGUGAACAUGCACAAGGAGUUUAAUGUAGGUUUUGGGGAACUAAAGAGAACACUUAUUAAAUAACGGCCUUAUUUUUCAUUCUUUUAUAGUUGAUAAAGAAAAAUAGUUUUAUAUUUUUGGAGACUUAUCUGCAGGAAGAUUCAGAAGUGUCGGCGAAAGAUUUUAUGAAAGAAUCUAUAGCUAUUAAUGGUCAUGUUGCCUGCUUAAACUACAUUAAGCUGCAUCAAUAAUACCAA